rnacentral:rRNA from 1 species
ACACAUCCUAAACCUUGAUAAAAAUCCACUUUUUUAUCCGCCAGGGGACUACGAGCACUACCUUAAAACCCAAAGGACUUGGCGGUGCUUUAGACCCACCUAGAGGAGCCUGUUCUAUAACCGAUAACCCCCGUUAAACCUCACCCCUUCUUGCUAUUUCCGCCUAUAUACCGCCGUCGUCAGCCUACUCCGUGAGGGAUGAAGAGUAAACGAAAUUGGUACCACCCAAAACGCCAGGUCGAGGUGUAGCGUAUGAAGGGGGAAGAAAUGGGCUACAUUUCCUAAACAGGAAAUUACGGACUGUACAAUGAAAAAGUACACAAAGGAGGAUUUAGCAGUAAGUAGAAAAUAGAGUGUUCUACUGAAGCUGGCCCUGAAGCGCGCACACACCGCCCGUCACCCUUUGCAGU